ensembl:lncRNA
CUAUCACCCACUUGCAAUUGGUCCACAGUGCUUGAUGGCAGAUGCUGCUCAGCUGAGUUUGAGGUGCAGGGACAGAGACGGAGGAAGAAAUAGCAAGCAGCGGUACAUCAAGUGGCUUGGAAGAAAAAUGGGAGGAAAAAGAAAACCAACACCCUCCAAGGAUGCUUUUGUGAUAGGAGCAGAUGAAAGUGGAAGAAAAUCAGGGCUGCUAUCUGUUAUGUACGAGUAGGAGGCUGCGUUCCUUUCCGUGAUAAAUCUUUUCAGGUGCUGUUACCCUGUGGGACACCAGGCAGGUUCACAAAACUUGAAUCAAGUCACAUCCCAAUUGUUUUCCACUCUCAUCCACCUCUGAAGUUCCUGAUACCAUCAAGCUAUCGUCACACAGAGUGAGGUGGGAGAACUUCAGUCCGGCUGCAGGAUUGGUCCCAGCGUGUGCUGGAACACAGACAGACUGGAUGUUUUAUCCCCAACUUAUAGAAAAAAAAAUUGAGGCGAGGAAGUGAAGGCAUUCAUUUUUAAAGUGUAGAAGUUCUAAUUUAAAGAAUAAUGCUCAGAGUGAAGUCUGCACUGGGAGCGUUGUUCCAUGCGAAGCACCAUGACUCAGAGCAGCUUUGGGUGUACAUGAGGAGCUGUGACCUAAUGAGGCACUGUGCAACUCCUAACCACAUGAAGCCAUACGAAGCUCCACGUUCAGCCACUUUAAAACAAGCUGUUAAGUGCUGCAAAGCUUCAGAAAUUUCUCCACUGCUCCUCUGCUGGUGGUGUCUCUGUGAAGAUGAAAAAUGAAAGCGUGGAGUUCACCAUCUGACUCUGAGAAACAGUGAGAACUUCAGCAAGACAGGAAAUAAACUUUUCCUACUUUCAUUCCCCCAACUUCUCUGGAGAUAAGUAAUACAGAUUACAUUCUCCAGGGCUACCAAGCUGACACCUUCAGCAAAGAAUUAAAUGGAGGAACUCUUCCCAUGGUAUUACUUACAAGAAAUUUAAGCAAUUAGUGUUUGCUGUCUACAAUCGGACAAUACUGAUCUCCAGUGAUGCAAUUUAAAAGCUCAUGAGAUGAAACUACAGUUAAUUAUAUACCCUUAACUUAUUUACCUAUUUCAAUAGCAAGGUAAUUACUAUUGUAUGGGUAUCAAUCUCUCUAAUACAUUGAUCGUAGCUAUUAGCUUAUCUGGAGUUGCUGCUCCAGACAGACCCAAUGAAUGUGGUUUAUAUUCCUAAAACUGUGAUCUGUGCUGCACCUGUAAAUGUUUUGUCCCCUUAGAGGGAUCCAGAAUGGAAGUUAGACCCUCCAGGGAAUGUCUCUCUUUGCAGACACUGAAGGCCUGCCUCAAAUUAUUUCAGUGUGGUUUUUGCAUCAAUGUAACUGUAUACACCCAAGGAGGGAGUGGCAACGUCCAACAGCUGGGGUGGUUCUUUCAGACUCCGCUAGAAAAGCCUUUUCCACCUUUCUUCCACCUUUUAAUUUUGUUUCCCCUCUAUCCAUCCCACUUUGUUGCUGAUUUGAAUGUCAAGUAUGCAUGGAACUCUGUGUAUUACAUUGUGCCGAACUAACAAAUGAAAUGGUGUCACAUGCUCCUUAUCUUUAAAAGCAAACCUUGCAAAGCUUGUAUCUACUCUUCCAGCAGAGCUACAUUACCAGAAAGUAUUUUCCUGAAAACUUUGAGACUCUGGCUUAUUAAAACAGAUCCUUAGGAUGAUUGGGUCUAUUCCAUUAGUAGAUUUAUAAAGUGUACAGACUGAGUAAACAACAGUGACAGCUUGGGGAAGUGUAUGCACCUGUUUAUUAAAAAGACGUUAACAAGGGCAAAUCUAAAAUAAGAACAUGUACCACAACCCAAUUUUCAGCAAAUUUUUAUGCAUGCCUACACUCAAGGUUACCAAUGUUAUUGGCAAUUUCUCUCUCUCUUUUCUCUCUCAGGAUUACACAACUGAUGAG